UUAUCAGACUUGUUACAAGGUUGUUCUAACAAGUCUGAUACAGUCAUGAUAUAACAAGAAUGUUACAAGGUGGUAACUUACAAUAUUAUUGUAUCAUGACUGUAUCCAACUUGUUGGAACAACUUUGCAACAAGUCUGAUAA